rnacentral:rRNA from 1 species
CCUACGGGAGGCAGCAGUGAGGAAUAUUGGUCAAUGGACGAGAGUCUGAACCAGCCAAGUAGCGUGAAGGAUGACUGAUCUAGGGGUGGUAAACUUCGUUUAUAAAGGAAUAAAACGAGGCACGUGAGCCUGAUUGCAUGGACUUUAAGAAUACAGAUCGCCUAACUCCGUGCCAGCAGCCGCGGUAAUACGGAGGAGCCGAGCGUUAGCCGGAUUUAUUGGGUUUAAAGGGAGCGUAGAUGGGUUGGUAAGUCUGUUGUGAAAGUUUGUGGCCCAACCGUAAAAUUGCAAUGGAUACUGGCGGUCUUGAGUACAGGUGAGGUAGGCGGAAUUCGUGGUGUAGCGGUGAAAUGCGUAGAUAUCACGAAGAACCCCGAUUGCGAAGGCAGCUUACUAAACUGUGGCUGACAUUGAUGCUCGAAAGUGUGGGGAUCAAACAGGAUUAGAUACCCGUGUAGUC